UUAUAUUGGAAAUUCUUGACAAAGUUUACCUAGGAUCAGUAAACUGGAAGCAAGCAACAAAACCUCCCAUCAAGAUGCCUUUCAGAAAAGUUGAGAAUUGCAACCAAGCUAUACGGAUUGGAAAGGAAUUGAACUUCUCUCUUGUGAAUGUAGCAGGAAACGAUAUUGUAUAGGGAAACAAGAAACUCAUACUAGGAAGAGAACCUGUCAGCUAUGAAUACUGAUCCUUGGUAUUCUGCCUAUCACUAUUCUCAUCCUCCUUUGUUGAAAGACUUGCUGCAAUCGAUGAACUU